UAAUACAGAGGGUGCAAGCGUUAAUCGGAGUUACUGGGCGUAAAGCGUACGUAGGCUGGCAUAAAAGUCAGAUGUGAAAUCCCUGGGCUCAACCUAGGAACUGCAUUUGAAACUAUAUGUCUAGAGUAUGGUAGAGGGAAGUGGAAUUUCCGGUGUAGCGGUGAAAUGCAUAGAUAUCGGAAGGAACAUCAGUGGCGAAGGCGACUUCCUGGACCAAUACUGACGCUGAGGUACGAAAGCAUGGGGAGCAAACAGGAUUAGAUACCCUGGUAGUCCAUGCCGUAAACGAUGAGAACUAGGUGUUGGGUAGUUUACUACUUAGUGCCGCAGCUAACGCAUUAAGUUCUCCGCCUGGGGAGUACGGCCGCAAGGCUA
rnacentral:rRNA from 1 species